GGAUCUAGUAGUUGAAGUGUAGGUGGUAGAAGAUAAGAUAUACACAGGGAAACAGAUGACAGAAGCUCUACCAGGCCAGAGCACUGCUGGGAUUAUUGUCUCCAUGAUGAAGAGCGCUGCAUUGCUGUCAGGACUUUUGGACCCUCGGCCAUGCUUCCUGGUCUCCAUCCUCCUUGUAGCUUUCUUCUCAGAGUACUAGGAUGCCCUUGAUGCUGAAAUCAGCUCAAACUUGGCUGCUGCACGUAGACGGAGGAUGUACACCUACUGAUGAGGAAAGGAUCUGGGACAGUCUGUCGCCAAGCAACCACGUGGCUUCUCACCACACUGACAUUACAGUGGUUGCUCUGCCCCUGCCCCACUACACUAAGUAUAAAUAAAAGUUACGA